rnacentral:rRNA from 1 species
CCUACGGGCGGCAGCAGUGGGGAAUAUUGGACAAUGGGCGAAAGCCUGAUCCAGCCAUGCCGCGUGUGUGAAGAAGGCCUUCGGGUUGUAAAGCACUUUCAGUGGGGAAGAAAGCCUUGGGGCUAAUACCCUCGAGGAAGGACAUCACCCACAGAAGAAGCACCGGCUAACUCCGUGCCAGCAGCCGCGGUAAUACGGAGGGUGCGAGCGUUAAUCGGAAUUACUGGGCGUAAAGCGCGCGUAGGCGGUCUGAUAAGCCGGUUGUGAAAGCCCCGGGCUCAACCUGGGAACGGCAUCCGGAACCGGCCAGGCUGGGGGCCGGGGAGGAAAGGUGAAUUCCCGGUGGAGGCGUGGAAAGCGGUGGGGACGGGGGGGAAAACCGGGGCGAAGGCGGCCUUCUGGACUGACACUGACGCUGAGGUGCGAAAGAGUGGGUAGCAAACAGGAUUAGAUACCCCAGUAGUC